rnacentral:rRNA from 1 species
GGUUGAUCCUGCCAGUAGUCAUAUGCUUGUCUCAAAGAUUAAGCCAUGCAUGUCUAAGUAUAAGCAAUCUAUACAGUGAAACUGCGAAUGGCUCAUUAAAUCAGUUAUCGUUUAUUUGAUAAUACUUUACUACUUGGAUAACCGUGGUAAUUCUAGAGCUAAUACAUGCUAAAAAUCCCUACCUCUGGCGGGGAUGUAUUUAUUAGAUAAAAAACCAAUGUCUUCGGACUCUUUGGUGAUUCAUAAUAACUUUUCGAAUCGCAUGGCCUUGCGCUGGCGAUGGUUCAUUCAAA